rnacentral:rRNA from 1 species
AAAAACUCCGGUGGUAUGGGAUGGGCCCGCGUCUGAUUAGCUAGUUGGCGGGGUAACGGCCCACCAAGGCGACGAUCAGUAGCCGACCUGAGAGGGCGACCGGCCACAUUGGGACUGAGACACGGCCCAAACUCCUACGGGAGGCAGCAGUGGGGAAUAUUGCACAAUGGGGGAAACCCUGAUGCAGCGACGCCGCGUGAGCGAUGAAGUAUUUCGGUAUGUAAAGCUCUAUCAGCAGGGAAGAAGAUGACGGUACCUGACUAAGAAGCCCCGGCUAACUACGUGCCAGCAGCCGCGGUAAUACGUAGGGGGCAAGCGUUAUCCGGAUUUACUGGGUGUAAAGGGAGCGUAGACGGCGAUGCAAGCCAGAUGUGAAAGCCCGGGGCUCAACCCCGGGACUGCAUUUGGAACUGUGUGGCUGGAGUGUCGGAGAGGCAGGCGGAAUUCCUAGUGUAGCGGUGAAAUGCGUAGAUAUUAGGAGGAACACCAGUGGCGAAGGCGGCCUGCUGGACGAUGACUGACGUUGAGGCUCGAAAGCGUGGGGAGCAAACAGGAUUAGAUACCCUGGUAGUCCACGCCGUAAACGAUGACUGCUAGGUGUCGGGCGGCAAAGCCGUUCG